AUUGAACGCUGGCGGCAUGCCUUACACAUGCAAGUCGAACGGCAGCACGGGUGCUUGCACCUGGUGGCGAGUGGCGAACGGGUGAGUAAUACAUCGGAACAUGUCCUGUAGUGGGGGAUAGCCCGGCGAAAGCCGGAUUAAUACCGCAUACGAUCUAUGGAUGAAAGCGGGGGACCUUCGGGCCUCGCGCUAUAGGGUUGGCCGAUGGCUGAUUAGCUAGUUGGUGGGGUAAAGGCCUACCAAGGCGACGAUCAGUAGCUGGUCUGAGAGGACGACCAGCCACACUGGGACUGAGACACGGCCCAGACUCCUACGGGAGGCAGCAGUGGGGAAUUUUGGACAAUGGGCGAAAGCCUGAUCCAGCAAUGCCGCGUGUGUGAAGAAGGCCUUCGGGUUGUAAAGCACUUUUGUCCGGAAAGAAAUCCUUGGCUCUAAUACAGUCGGGGGAUGACGGUACCGGAAGAAUAAGCACCGGCUAACUACGUG
rnacentral:rRNA from 1 species